AGAGAGAGACAUGCGCGCAUAUCAAUAAGCGGAGGAAAAGAAACUAACAAGGAUUCCCCUAGUAACGGCGAGUGAAGCGGGAAGAGCUCAAAUUUGAAAUCUUAAAGGGUUUCCCUUUACGAAUUGUAGUUUAAAGAAGUGUUUUCUGUUGAGGUUUCGGUAAAAGUUCUUUGGAAUAGGACAUCAUAGAGGGUGAGAAUCCCGUAUUUGACCAUUACUUUCCAACUUUGUGAUACACUUUCAAAGAGUCGGAUUGUUUGGGAAUGCAGUCCAAAAUGGGUGGUAAAUUUCAUCUAAAGCUAAAUAUUGGCGAGAGACCGAUAGCGAACAAGUACCGUGAGGGAAAGAUGAAGAGAACUUUGAAAAGAGAGUUAAACAGUACGUGAAAUUGUCAAAAGGGAAGCGUUUGACACCAGUGUUGUUUUUCUGAAAAUCAAUUAAAGAACUGUUUAUGCUAAGCUGUUUAGACUUUAUCAGCUAUACUGUUUAGUUUUGAGCUUUUCUUUAAUGCACUUUUCAGUUAACAAGUCAACAUCAAUUUCUUUUGCUGUAAAAAAGCUUGAGGAAGGUGGCUUGAGAUUCGUCUUAAGUGUUUAUAGCCUCUUGCCUAUGCAGUCGGAGAGAUUGAGGUCUGCAGCGUAGAUCCUUCGGGGCUAAAUGCAUUUGUGCUAAGUUAUAGCAUUUUAUAGACAACUUGUUGACUAUGAUUUGUCUUGUAGCUUACUCGCUUAUGUUAUUUUACCUACGCUUAGGAUGUUGAGCGCAUGUCUCUCUCU
rnacentral:rRNA from 1 species